rnacentral:tRNA from 1 species
ACUUUUGUGAUGUAAUGGUAGCACACUCGACGUGUAUUUGAGAAAUCCAGGUUCAACUCCCGGCGAGGGCA